rnacentral:rRNA from 1 species
UACGAAGGGGGCUAGCGUUGUUCGGAAUUACUGGGCGUAAAGCGUGCGUAGGCGGUUUGUUAAGACAGGUGUGAAAUCCCCGGGCUUAACCUGGGAACUGCGCUUGUUACUGGCAGACUGGAGUGUGGCAGAGGGGGGGUGGAAUUCCAGGUGUAGCAGUGAAAUGCGUAGAUAUCUGGAGGAACACCGAUGGCGAAGGCAGCCCCCUGGGCUAACACUGACGCUGAUGCACGGAAGCGUGGGGAGCAAACAGG